UACGUAGGGGGCUAGCGUUGUCCGGAAUCAUUGGGCGUAAAGAGCGCGUAGGCGGCCAGAUAAGUCCGGUGUGAAAGUCAAAGGCUCAACCUUUGAAUGCCGCUGGAAACUGUCUGGCUAGAGUCCGGGAGGGGCGAGUGGAAUUCCUGGUGUAGCGGUGAAAUGCGCAGAUAUCAGGAGGAACACCAAUGGCGAAGGCAGCUCGCUGGAACGGUACUGACGCUGAGGCGCGAAGGCCAGGGGAGCAAACGGG
rnacentral:rRNA from 1 species